rnacentral:rRNA from 1 species
UACGAAGGGGGCUAGCGUUGUUCGGAAUUAGUGGGCGUAAAGCGAACGUAGGCGGUGUUCCAUGUCAGAGGUGAAAGCCUGGGGCUCAACUCCAGAAUUGCCUUUGAAACGGGGACGCUUGAGUCCGAGAGAGGAUGGCGGAAUUCCUAGUGUAGAGGUGAAAUUCGUAGAUAUUAGGAAGAACACCAGUGGCGAAGGCGGCCAUCUGGCUCGGUACUGACGCUCAGGUUCGAAAGCGUGGGGAGCAAACAGG